CGUAGGCGUUGCCCAGGCAACCAAGGGGCUCUCCUGGAAAGCUUGAGUGGCAAAAUCUGCAACCAGAACUUGUUUUAGUUUGGAGCUGUGCUUGCCGAAGGGGCUAAAUUUAACCUGGUUUAAGAGCUACUGCAGGUACUGGAUUCUACUAGGAAACCUGUCACCUGGUCAUAAACAGUGAUAACUGGUACAUAAUAUCAUUUGUCCCAUUACUCUGAUGUCAAAAUUGAUUAUGUGGUUAGUUAAAAUGAAAAAUUAAUAAAAGGAGAGGGGAGUGGAAAAAGCACGACAUGUGCAACAGGAAUGCUUUGGAAAGGAAGCCACAUUUAUUGGCAAGGUGAUGAAGACAAGGAAAAAAGAAAUGCUACCAUCUGUAUCUCCUUUCUGAAGUGAUGCUGGAAAGAACUCACAGACUCUACUGCACAGAACAGUCAGGGCAAUGGAAUUGGUCUGUUCUCCCUGAAGGAAGAAAGCAUCACAUGCUUUGGAAAUUGCAGUUAAAUUAAAUGUCAAAAUACUUCCAAGUGAAUUGCCUGGCUGCUCUGCUUUAACUGGUGUCAUCCGCAUCUUCAUCCUUUCCUCUUGACUUCUGUUCCCCUUACAUCAUAGGAAAGAGCACAGAACUCCCACAGGCAGAUCCUUCUUGUAGGGCUCAGUGUGCACUUGUCUGUGGCAUGUGGAACUUUUCUUGUCUUUUUAAAAAUUGUGGUAAAAUGUACAUGACAUAAAAUUUACCAUAUAAACCAUCUUUAUGUGUAUAGUUCAGUGGCAUUAAGUAAUUCACAUUGCUGUGCUGCCAUCACUGCCAUCCAUCUCCAAAACUUGUUUGUCUUAUAAAACCAAAAUUAUACUCAUUAAACAACUUCUCAUACCCUCCUCCCACUAGCCCCUGGCAACCAACAGGGUGUCUGUGAACUUGGCUGUUCUAGGUGCCUCAUACAAGUGGAAUCACACAUUAUUUGUCUGUUUGUGACUGGCUUAUUUCACUUAGGAUAAUGUCUUCAAGGUUCAUUGGUGUUAUAGCAUGUAGUAGAAUUCCCUUCCUUUCCAGGGAUGAAUAAUAUAUACCACAUUUUGUUUAUCUAUUCAUCUGUCUAUGGGAAUUUGAGUUGUUUCCAACUUUUGGCUAUCAUGAAUAAUGCUGCUAUAAACAUUUGUGUACAAGUAUCUGUUGGAGUCCCUGCUUUCAAUUAUUUUAGCAUAUAUCUGAAAGUAGACUAACUGAAUCUUAUGGUGAUUAAAUAUAUACAUGUUGGGGAGAACUGCCAUGAUGUUUUCCACAGUGGCUACACCAUUUUGCAUUUCUAUCAGCAAUGCACAAAGGUUCAAAUUUCUCCACAUCCUUGUGUAGCACGUUCAAUUUUUGACACCCCUGACAAAUGGCACUUUCUCAUUUCUUUGCUUUAAUUGUAUGAUGCUUAGAGACCUAACCAGCUGUUCUGAAGAAUUAACUCGGGUUGCCUCUUGAAGUUCUUUAUUCAGAAAUAGUGUAUGUAUGGUGCCUAUCGAAGGAACAAAAAGUACAAAAAAUGUAAUUUCUUUUUCCCAUUUUUAAUUAUUUUUCCUUUCCUCUUUUUUUUUGACGUCGUUAUCUCUCUUUUACAGUAAGCAUCCAUACCCAAUAUGACCGUGGGUAUGAAAUAGUUAAAUUAAAACUCCUGGACUCCUUCAAGAAAUGUCAUGAAAUCUUCUUUUGUGCCUAAAGUAUACUUUUAAACUUAGAUUUUACUUGUCAGUUACUCUUUGUCAAAAAACAAAGAAGGAAACAUCCCAUUAUCACAAUGCAAGGAAUACAGAUGCAAAAUUCAGAUGCAGAUGGAGUGACAAGAGAAAUAUAGCCAGGACAGAGAGAAAAAGAGAGACUUGCCCCAGCUCAUAAAUAGAGGGUGAUGAUUCCAACUGGCAUUUGGUAGGCUACAUUGGAACAAAGCCACAUUUACUGAAAUACACCAUUUGACAUAUAUUCUGUACCUAAGAGACUGAGACAUUUCUGCAAUAGUAAUAAAUUCUGCAAUAGUAAUAAAUUUCCUAACAGUGGAAAUUAGAGUCUGUCAAUAGCACACUGUGACAUGGAAGAAGCAGCAAAAACAGUAACAACAGUAAUGAAGGUAUCCAUUUAUUGAACCAUAUUAUUAAGUACCACCUGAUGAUGAUGAUAAUGUAAGUGCCUUUAAUACAUAUAAUCUUAUUUUAUCAUCACUGCAGUCCUAUUGUAUCAACUGGGUUCAUCUCAGUUAUGCUACAGUAAUAAAUAAUCCUCAUACCCCAGUGGUUUAGCAAUUAAAUAUUUAUUUCUUGCUUAUAUAAAGUCUGCUGGAGGUCCACGAUAACUCUGUGGAGCAGCUGUCCUUUGUUUCAGCUCAAAAUUCCAACCUGCUUAAAUCAUAUUACAUCCACCUAUUAUUGUAUCCUAUUAUGGCCACCAAGGCUGGGGAAGAAAGAGAAGUGGAGGGGCAAACACAAGCCAUUAAAUACUUCCUUCUGGAAGUGAUAUACAUCAAAACCACUUACAUUAUAUUGGCCAGAACAAGCCACACAGUCAUGAGUAGCUAUAAGAAGGUAGAGAAAUAUAAUCUGCCUAAGUGCUCAGAAGAAAAGUGAACCAGAUCUUUGAAAAUAUAUGUAUUUCUCAUCAGUGAUAUAUGCUCCUUUACUAUCCUCAUUUAACAGAUUAUGAAGCCAAUACUCAGAGGGAUUAAAAACACACACCCAAGGCCACUCUAUGGGGACAUAUCAUGACUUCCAUGGGCCUGGGUCAUUUUUGCUUUCACAGGCCCUUUCCUCCAUAAAACAUACUUUAUAUUUUAUGAACGGAUUGGCAUAAAUAUGAAGAUAACCCAUGGUGGACUCUUUUUCCCUCUUAUUUUAAAAUAAAAUAAAACAUUUUUAUGGAUUCCUAUAAGUCUUGCGUGCUCUGGGCACUGAACCUCUUGUGUUUAAUGGAUAACCCAGCCCUGCUCAGAUGAUUGGGUUUGACUCUGAAGCCUGUGCUUUUCACCAUGGCGCUAAAAUGCCUGUCUAAACCAGAUAAACCACAUUUCAACCCAAACUGAGUCAGUUCUUUUAGUCACAGUUAGUUGAAUAUUUUUAACAAUUUCUGAGUGGGAAUUAGCAUUUAGUAUCAGAAUCUACUGUACCACUGUUUAAAUAUUAGGGUAUUUGUUGAAAUGUUCUAUGGGAGAAAGGAAAUUGUUCAAAGCAAACACUGGCUAUGACCUUUCUUUUGGAGUUGCAUAGUUUGUCUCUGAGGUUAAAAAUGUCUUUUCAUUUAAGUAACCUUUUGAAUGAGCUUAAGUUGCUGUAGAGACUGAGACCCUAGGGUCUAGAUCAGCAUUUUCCAAUAGAACUAGGAUGUAAGUCCACAAAUGCAAUUUAUUUUUCUACUAGUCACAUCAAAAAGCAUUAAAAGAAGUGGAUACAUUUUAAUUGACAU